CUCUUAACUCCAAAAGUUCAUAUGGAAUUAGAGAAAUGCCCAGUAUGUUAGGAAGGAAACUAAUGGGAGCCCAUGAGUCAAAAAAUCUGAACACAAUAAUCCCCGCUCUUUAGUAAUUCAGGUUUCAUGCAACUUUAUGGUUUUUAAAAAAUGUUAUCUCAAAGAGGAAGGAGCUGUCUACUGUUGGCCAUCCUCUUUCUUGUCAUAGUAUUAAUCCAUAUAACGUCUUCUCCUAUGGUUCUUGGCUUCUUUCUACAGCACAGGUUCACAUUUAUGAAGCAGCCAAUAAGAAUUCCCAGCCUGAGAGGACCUUGGAACCAGAAGGAAUUGGAGGAGAUUUAAACAAGCUGACCCAAGGAAAGCACAAGAUCUUUCUAUGCAUUGAAGAUCACCAAAUCAAAGAUAAAAGUGCUCGACCAUUAUGGCCUAUGGCAAACUCGGGCUGGCUGAAGCAUCCUUCUCUUCCAUUUAGAACCCUGGUGAGGCCCCUUAGACCACCACUGGGCUGUCCUCCUCCCUCCUCAGAGACAGAGUUCUGGGCUGGGCCAUGGAGGUGUCUGUCAACACGGCAGUAGUCCUCGUUCUAUGGAAAACCAGCUGUUCCCUGUGACACGACUCCAUUCCCGCAGCUGCCUGCUAUUCAGCUGGGCUGACGGACAGCAGAGCACAGGGUUGGAAGACCACCCUCUCAGACAGGUUUACCAAGAAGCUCACUGAGAGGCGACACAAACGGCCAAGAACAUGAAAAGACGGUCAGUGCCCUUGCAGAUGGAAGCAGGCAAUCAUUUUUCACCUGCAAGGCUGAUAAAGAUGAAAUGUUCUGAUAAUACAGGAAGAGUAUAAGGAAACUGUCACUCGAUGGACUCCAGGUGAAAUAUAACUAAUCCAGCUGCCUUGGAGGGAAAAGAUAUCUUUCAAAAUUGAAAUGACAGGAAUGGCAGCAUUAUGGGUGGGAGAUAAAGAAUCUGGGUUUCUUUCAGGGGUGAUGAAAAUGUUCUAAAACGGAUUGUGGUGACAGUUUUCCACAACUCGGAAUAUACUGAAAACCACCACAUUGUAUACUUAAAUGGGUGGGUUGUAUGGUAUGUGAAUUAUAUCUCAAUAAAAUUUUUACCAAAAGAGAGGAAGAACAUUUUUAAAAAACUAACAUAACAUGGAAUAUAUCUCAGAGGAUAAAUUUAGAUGUUUUUAUAGAAGGAAAGUUCAUAUUCUGAUUUUAAAACUCUAGAUAACAAUGGUGAAGAUAAAU
rnacentral:lncRNA from 10 species